rfam:Myotis davidii contig117124, whole genome shotgun sequence.
AGUGGUUCUUGGAUGAUGCACCCCAGAAUUGGGCUCCCUUCUCUCUGGUUCCAGGUGUGUCACCUGAGAACUGCA